AUGCUUGAUUUGGCAACACAUUACUAAGACUGGAAUGAUACAGAGAAGAUCAACAUGGCCCUUGCACACGGAUGACAUGCAAAUUCGUGGAAUGUUCCAUAUUUUU
rnacentral:snRNA from 1 species